rnacentral:rRNA from 1 species
UACGUAGGGGGCAAGCGUUGUCCGGAUUUAUUGGGCGUAAAGAGCGUGUAGGCGGCUGGGUAGGUCCGUUGUGAAAACUCGAGGCUCAACCUCGAGACGCCGAUGGAAACCCUCCAGCUAGAGUCCGGAAGAGGAGAGUCGGAAUUCCUGGUGUAGCGGUGAAAUGCGCAGAUAUCAGGAAGAACACCCGUGGCUAAGGCGGCUCUCUAGUACGGUACUGACGCUGAGACGCGAAAGCGUGGGGAGCGAACAGG